GUGCUCGCUUCGGCAGCACAUAUACUAAAAUUGGAACAACACAGAGAAGAUUAGCAUGGCCCCUGUGCAAGGAUGACAUGCAAAUUCGGGAAGUGUUCCAUGUUUUU